GAUGAACGCUGGCGGCGUGCCUAAUACAUGCAAGUCGAGCGAACAGACGAGGAGCUUGCUCCUCUGACGUUAGCGGCGGACGGGUGAGUAACACGUGGAUAACCUACCUAUAAGACUGGGAUAACUUCGGGAAACCGGAGCUAAUACCGGAUAAUAUAUUGAACCGCAUGGUUCAAUAGUGAAAGACGGUUUUGCUGUCACUUAUAGAUGGAUCCGCGCCGCAUUAGCUAGUUGGUAAGGUAACGGCUUACCAAGGCGACGAUGCGUAGCCGACCUGAGAGGGUGAUCGGCCACACUGGAACUGAGACACGGUCCAGACUCCUACGGGAGGCAGCAGUAGGGAAUCUUCCGCAAAGGGCGAAAGCCUGACGGAGCAACGCCGCGUGAGUGAUGAAGGUCUUCGGAUCGUAAAACUCUGUUACUAGGGAAGAACAAAUGUGUAAGUAACUAUGCACGUCUUGACGGUACCUAAUCAGAAAGCCACGGCUAACUACGUG
rnacentral:rRNA from 1 species